AUGACUUGCAUCGCUCGUUCCGAUCGUGCAAGCCAUUAUUAUAAAUUCUGCUUUUUUUAUUGUCAAAUUUAUCUUAAUGAUGUUCUUUGUUCAUGGACGACUGGCCUGCAAAAACUCACUCCGACACCUCCUGCGUGGCUUUCCCUGCGCCUCUCGUGGCCACUUUUCUCUGACUCCGGCAUAGACCUCAAUGACACUCUACCUGAGCCGGUGGCCCUCGGCAUCGACCUCGGUGUCAUGAAGAACAUCCAAGAUUAUAUGGUCGAGAAGCUCAGCGUCGACAAGAGCAUCAUCCUAGAGCUCUGCAUCAUCCUCUACAAGCAAGUACCGAACCACCAUGGCCAUGCCACUGUCUUGACCAUGUGUCUGUUGUGGUCCUUGAUGCAGGCCAUUGUGCACCAAUUUGACGACGAUGAUUUCCACAGCUUUGUUCAUGGAUGGCUGGCUUACGAAAAGCUCACGCCGACGCCUCCGGUGUGGCUUCCCCUACGCCUCCAGCAUAGGGUUCUUGUACAUGCGAAAGAGAGCAUGUCUAAAGAAAAGAAAAACCUGGAUAAUCAUGGUUGUUACAGUCCUAGGGAAAUUGAUACACUCAUGGGCCACCUGAUGUUGGUUGUCAAGCUUGUUUGCUGCGACCAUCAGCCGAUGUAUCCUUCAUCAGUGCACGGCCAUGGCGAUGAAAUGCUGCGUUGA
rnacentral:rRNA from 1 species